GGCGGCGUAGCUCAGUUGGUGGAGCAAGAGAUUCAUAUCCUCUAGGUCAUUGGUUCGAUCCCAAUCGCCGCUA
rnacentral:tRNA from 1 species